rnacentral:rRNA from 1 species
ACCAACAGGGAUUGCCCCAGUAACGGCGAGUGAAGCGGCAAGAGCUCAAAUUUGAAAGCUGGCUCCUUCGGGGUCCGCAUUGUAAUUUGUAGAGGAUGCUUCGGGAGCGGUCCCCAUCUAAGUGCCCUGGAACGGGACGUCAUAGAGGGUGAGAAUCCCGUAUGGGAUGGGGUGUCCGCGCCCGUGUGAAGCUCCUUCGACGAGUCGAGUUGUUUGGGAAUGCAGCUCUAAAUGGGUGGUAAAUUUCAUCUAAAGCUAAAUAUUGGCCGGAGACCGAUAGCGCACAAGUAGAGUGAUCGAAAGAUGAAAAGCACUUUGAAAAGAGAGUUAAAAAGCACGUGAAAUUGUUGAAAGGGAAGCGCUUGCGACCAGACUCGCUCGCGGGGUUCAGCCGGCAUUCGUGCCGGUGUACUUCCCCGCGGGCGGGCCAGCGUCGGUUUGGGCGGUCGGUCAAAGGCCCUCGGAAGGUAACGCCCCUAGGGGCGUCUUAUAGCCGAGGGUGCAAUGCGACCUGCCUAG